CAGAUACGGCCAUAUUUACUGAAACCCACCGGAACCCAUCAGAACUCCGAAGUUAAACCAGUAUGAGCUUAAUUAGUCUAAGAAGGGAGA
rnacentral:rRNA from 1 species